AAAGGAAAGAAGAGAGGAAGAUUCAGCGCUCUCUGUGGACUCAACCCAAAGUGUACAAAGAAGGUCAACAAGAAGAACCACUGCACUCCAACACCUUCCCAGAACCAGACCCCUGCCGUCAGUGAAACAGCAAUUGUCAAUGAUCAAGAAACCUGCCGAACAGAGAGUGUAUGCUCCACCAAGAAGAAACCAAGGAAGCGUUCGCUCAUUUCCAGGAUGUUUUCAGCUAUAGGCAAAGCCUUGUCCAGU